rnacentral:rRNA from 1 species
UACGUAGGGGGCAAGCGUUGUCCGGAAUUAUUGGGCGUAAAGCGCGCGCAGGCGGUUCUUUAAGUCUUGUGUCUAAUGCCGUGGCUCAACCCAUAGUCUGCAUCGGAAACUGUCGGGCUUGAGUAUGGGAGAGGUGAGUGGAAUUUCCGGUGUAGCGGUGAAAUGCGUAGAUAUCGGAAGGAACACCUGUGGCGAAAGCGGCUCACUGGACCAUUACUGACGCUGAGGCACGAAAGCUAGGGGAGCAAACAGG